rnacentral:lncRNA from 1 species
ACAGAAGGAAGAGCAGGUUUCUCACGGCAUGUCAGCCCAGGGCUCCCACAUGUGGCCUCCCACCCUCAUCUUCACACAUUCUCACACCUUCCGGAGUACAGAGGCGAGUGGGGUGCAGAUGGUCCUCCCUACAUCGGCCUCCUGCCCCCAACAGGAUUCCUCACAUCCCAGGACCAGCUGGAAAAGGUGGUGAGAGUUGGAAAGAGACUGCUCAGUGAGGACUGCCCUGCGAACCAGCUUGGAUUCAUCCCGUUCACCUCCACGUUCUGCACUCGGGGCCGAGGGAAGGGAGGCAGCCCAGGCAGCUAGAGAACUUGAUGAAACACACUCAAUCUGAAUCUCGCUUGAUCGUCAUGCUGACCCAGUGAGUCUACUCAGGGUCAGGCAUCCUUUCCGACUACUCACUCAGCAGCGGAUCCCCACCCGCCUCUGACUCCCAGUGUCUUUCGGCUCCAACGUAAGUUCACCGAACGUCUAAGAGCUGAGGAUUCAAAGGCAUGUAAGACCGCCCCUGCCCUCAGCUGCAAGACCUGUCCGCGAUCCUACGAGCCCCAUUCCGCCCUCUUUCCCCGACCUUGGUCCCCCAUGGGCCCUACAACCAGGUCCCCGACUGACACCUUGACCAGCGAACACAGCAAACAGGCCCGCAGAUGCCGCAGGUCCUUCGGCACCGUCUCCAGGGCCAUCUUCGCCGAUGGGAAGAACAACAGGGAGAUAGACGACCACAGCCUGUGCACCCGCAGGAAGUAAAUAGCUCGUUACCCAGAAUGCCCACCACUUCCGGCGCUUAGACUUCCUCUUCCGGUGUGGGCGGACGCCAGCUCCGCCCCUACCCCCGCCAGAGGAGAUGGUUUCUCCCGCCAGCAGGCGGGGAGGCUGGGCGGCCGGCCGCCACCUGGGCCGGAGCGCGUCGCAGCCACCUGAGCCCGCCGAGGGCGCGGCGGAGGCUGUGUGGGGUAGUCAGCGGGCCCCCGGGGCGGGGGGGCGGCUGCGCUUGCGCGGGAGUGUGUCGGGCUGAGCCGCAGCGCCGAGACGCGGGCUGUUUGAUCUGGGCUGGUGGCCCUGGGCGUCGGUCCUGUUCCCCGAUGGUAACCCGAAGUUUGUUUUUUUUUGUUUUGUCUCCCCGUUUUAGAAGCAUUGGGGGCAGUGAAUCCACUGUCUCCCUCUGGAUUGUCUCUGCAGAGACCGAGAAGAAAUCCAGGGACAGCCCCACCCCUCCUUCCUAACUGCGAGAGCGCUAUAGGGUUUCCACUUGCUUCCCACAGGAAUGCUGGCCUGGGAGCUACGGCGGAAAAAAAUGCGUAUUUAUCUUUUAAAACUCCGUCUGUUUGCUCGUUCCGGCUGAUAAUUUAUACUUUGCGCAGUUCUUAGCGCUUAGACACGGUUCCUUUACUAAAGACCAUUUGUAGGAGAUUAGGUGUCCUUUUUUUCCCUUUCAUUUCACCGUCUAGGAAGCGAAAUGCCUUGUUCUAUAGGCACUAAACCACCACCCCUACCAAACCUUUCUCGGGGAAGCAGAAGGGGAACUUGUGCCUUGUGAGGAAGCGACAAAGGCCCCUUCUGGCCCUGGAGACUUCACGCCAAUGGAGCACCAGCUCUCUGUCCUCGCAAUAGCCCGAGUGCAGGCAGAACGCAGUCAUUUGUGUUUAUCUGAGAGGAGCUUUGGGAUAUAAAUAGUUUCAGGCCCCGCUGCGCUGUCAUUCCAGCCCAGCCUCCUGAUUGAGCUGCUUCCGGGCGGGCUUUCUUCUUGUUGGCGGUCCCAUGCUGUGUUCAGAUGGGCUCUGUGACAGGUUUGGAUGUUUUCUAUCACUGAAUAAAACUUUCCACUUUGGAACAUAUUUUCUACACUCUAUUAUCUCAUGUAAGUCCUGCAACAACUAUUAAGUAGGCCCAUUUUAUGGACUGAAAAAGCGAGGCACAGAGUAUUUGCCCAAGGUCUGAGUCACUGAAGUAUGAUAAUGUGUGAAGUGAACAGUAUAAUAAUAAUGACUGAAGCACAGUAAGAAUCCAGUCAUGCUUUCUCCUUCCCUGAUCUCACUAAGCCACACUUUUAGGGGCUUACAAACCAGUUCUUAUUGCCAAGCCCUCUACUCUACCCUAUCCUUUCAUGAAUCGGAGCCUAGCCUCUGAUAACAUAAAUAAUUUACUUCUCUUGAUGUAGAAAGAGAUGACGUUGUUACCCUGAGUGACAGUCACGACAGAACAAAACCACAAGACCAGACCACAUUUGUGGAUAAAUAUAUUAGCAAAUAAAUAUAUUUCUUAACAUAGUGCCUGA